AACCUUCAUUUGUCAUUUAUCCCUGCUGUGCUGCCAUCUGUAGUGGGAAGUGGGAGUUAUGAUGUGCGCGGUCAUAUGUUCCUGAAUGUCAAAAUUCAAAUUUAAUUAAAUUAACGCAAAGCGGAUUUUCGUAUAUAAAGUUCACAUUUUGAAACACCCCAAUCAGCAAUAUAAAUGCGGCAAGGUGUUUUCCAAUUCCAACAUAUCAAGUUUGACACGCCAGGAAUUUUCACAGAGAUGAAACUACUGAAAUCGCUUCUAACUUGUACAAAAAUGCAGCGAAAUAUAAUUAUAACUGCCAUUGUGGAAAGAACUUUAGUGAUAAAAAUAAUUUCACGAACCAUCAUAAGAUCCACGGUGAAGAUUCAUCUUCUGGUAGUGGUAGUUACCAACGGUAGAAUGAAGUUCAUAACCAGUUGCAUAGUAUUUUACAUGAGAUAGAUCAACAAGUUUUACGUAGAAAGCUGUUCAAUUUCCUAAACCAAUGUGAUGAUCCAGAUGUAACAGAUUUUAUUACUUCAAAGAAAAUUGGGCAUAUGCUUACUGACUUCAUGCUGGUAUUAAUACUGAUAUGCAUCUAGAGAGAUUUCAUAAGACUUUUAAAUAUAUUUACCUCAAAGGAAAGAAAGUUAAAAGACUAGAUAAGGGAAUAUGUGCAAUCAUGCAAUUUGUUGACAGACUUAUAUCCCGUUAUAAGGAUAAAAUCUGCAGUAAAGUCAAAGAAAUAAGAGUUUGUCAUGAAACUAUGACCAGCUUGGAUAAAAAUUUAUUAAUAUAAUGUGAAGAUGGAUGGAAAAUACCUUCAAAAACAUCUGAAGAAAACAUUUAUUCCAAAAACAGACAGCGAUAGCCAAAAUGCCAACUUAAAUGUACAUUGUGUAACAUCUACAUACAUGAAUAUAUCUGCUCUUGUAUUGAUUCACCUAGUUUCUGCUUCAAGGAAAGAAAAUCUACUUGGGGAUGGAGGACCAAACUUUCAAACUGAUACUGACAGUAGUAGGUGAAGGAGUGUGAAGACACAAAAGAGAAGAAUUUAAUUCUAAAUGAAGUUGGUAGGAAAAGAGACUUGAAGAGGUCCGUAGAGAAGGAGAAGGAAGAUAUCAGGAACAAAAUUGCGAGACAUUUGAGGGACAGACAUUCCCCUACCAAACUUCAAGUCAUUAAAAAUAUUUUGGCUCCGCUUUCACCUACACACAGCUAUAGAUUCUAAUAAUUC